rnacentral:rRNA from 1 species
CGUAGGUGAACCUGCGGAAGGAUCAUUACCUUUCAGUACAGAAGCGUUGUGUUGGUUGAGUUGUGCCGGUUGAGUCUCGCUGACAAGUGGGAUUCCUGGUGGCAACUCCCUUCAUAAUUCUCCCUGUCUAUCAUCCUUGUCUUUUGCGUACUAUUGUUUCCUCGGUGGGCUUGCCCACCGGUUGGACAACCUUAUAACCUAUUUAAUUUUCAAUCAGCGUCUGAAAUAAUAUAAUAAUUACAACUUUCAACAACGGAUCUCUUGGUUCUGGCAUCGAUGAAGAACGCAGCGAAAUGCGAUAAGUAGUGUGAAUUGCAGAAUUCAGUGAAUCAUCGAAUCUUUGAACGCACAUUGCGCCCCUUGGUAUUCCAUGGGGCAUGCCUGUUCGAGCGUCAUUUGUACCCUCAAGCUUUGCUUGGUGUUGGGUGUUUGUCUUUUCCACGCGAUCAGACUCGCCUUAAAAUAAUUGGCAGCCAGUGUUUUGGUUUUGAAGCGCAGCACAAGUCGCGAUUCAGCUUAUAUCACUAGUUUCCAUUAAGCAUUUUAUCACUUUGACCUC